rnacentral:lncRNA from 1 species
UUAAUAAGAUUAAUGAAAUGUAGAGCGAGAACAAAUAUUUCUUCAAAUGACAAAGAUGUCGAUUCAGAAAAUAUUCCAUUUGUGCCAGAUUUAUUAGUGCGAUAUUUCGGAUAUCUAAUCACUGUACUGCGCUGUCAUUGUGCGAUGAAUUUCUAUUGGUUUCACAUCUUCACUAUUCAAAAAACGCAUUACAGAUUCGCUGUUCUAGCGCGAUGCAUAUUGAUAGCGGAGCAGCCAUCUUAUUGUGAAUGCUACUGCUUUCUUCGGCGUUGCAGUAUCACUCUGCCACCUGUCAUCACUUUGUGAAUCUUAAGGAUCACUACUGCCACCUACCGAAUAAAUCGUACAACUUUUCACAAUUCUAUGGCACUUUUACAGCUGUAUUCUGACCUCUCUUGUUUAACACAAGUUUAAACCAAGUUUAAACCAGUGUCAGUUAGACUAAAGUCUAAACUAAAACUGUUGUUCCUAUUCUUACCGCAGUUCUGGAC